rnacentral:lncRNA from 1 species
CCAGUUGCUUUCUUGUACGCAUUGCUGCCUGACGUGUCACAGCUUUCGAAGUCAUUGUUCGCAAAACUCUGAUCCAGGGCUGGGACAAUGGUGCUGCAUUCUUAAACAAAACGCAAGAAUUACUGCUGAAGCGCAUGUAGCAAGGUAGCUGUAUUAAAAAAAAAAAGCGGUUCGGGAUCGUACUCCCAUGGAAGCCACGCAUCAAACUCGAGCGAGCAGGCAUUGCGCAAGGCGCCAGUAACCAUACUCUGCCUAUGAACGCAGUGCUUCACAACUUCACAAAUGUUGUUGGUACUCUCGGUAUGAUGAUGGAAAAUAUUACCUGCCUCGCCAUUGUGCUAGUGUGCUGGUCAUGUGCUACGUUGCCUGUGGAAGGAGAAAGAGAUCCUUCCGCGACCCAUGGAGGUGGUAACAGACUAGUGAACAGUAGAAGAGUCUGGCCGCCGCAUCUAAAAAAUUUCUGCUGGAGACGGUACGAAGUCUUUAAGCAAUGUGUAGGCACUGGCUGCGAAGAGGGCACCUGUUGGAAGCCUACAAUCGGUCCUAAGUGCUUCAGAAACUGCAAGAGCGGAUGCUACUGUGGAGACGGUUACUACAGGAACCACAGAGGCAGAUGUGUGACUUGGAGAACGUGCCUUAAACAGCUGUAUCCUUGGGACUACGCAAACUAUCCAUGGGACCAGAGUCCGUGGUCGUCACUGAUGUCACCCAGCUAUCUGGGGUAGACUGGCACGUUUCCUUGGCAGUAAAAGAGGAACAAAAGCGCUUUCAGAUGUCGAUUUCAUGGCGCUUUUAAAGUGAGGAAGAGGGCAAGCAGUAAUAAAGGAUACCUUCAUUUACUUCUUUGA